rnacentral:rRNA from 1 species
GACGAACGCUGGCGGCGUGCCUAAUACAUGCAAGUAGAACGCUGAAGGAGGAGCUUGCUCUUCUGGAUGAGUUGCGAACGGGUGAGUAACGCGUAGGUAACCUGCCUGGUAGCGGGGGAUAACUAUUGGAAACGAUAGCUAAUACCGCAUAACAGUAGAUGUUGCAUGACAUUUACUUAAAAGGUGCAAUUGCAUCACUACCAGAUGGACCUGCGUUGUAUUAGCUAGUUGGGGGGGUAACGGCUCACCAAGGCGACGAUACAUAGCCGACCUGAGAGGGUGAUCGGCCACACUGGGACUGAGACACGGCCCAGACUCCUACGGGAGGCAGCAGUAGGGAAUCUUCGGCAAUGGACGGAAGUCUGACCGAGCAACGCCGCGUGAGUGAAGAAGGUUUUCGGAUCGUAAAGCUCUGUUGUAAGAGAAGAACGAGUGUGAGAGUGGAAAGUUCACACUGUGACGGUAUCUUACCAGAAAGGGACGGCUAACUACGUG